rnacentral:lncRNA from 1 species
GUGUUACGUUUGGAGUAGUUGUAUAUUGACAUUUUAACCUGUUCGUCUCCAGAUGUCUGCAGCGCAUUAUUCACAGAAGCAGAGGGAGUCCUGACGUCUGCAACUGUCCCAUCACAACAUCCAGAUAAUUCCAGCUGUGUUCCUGAUCCGCCUCCCAUUGCAAAAGUGGACUGUGGUGUGACUCUGACAGCAUCAAAGGGAGAAUUCUCAUCUCUGAACUUCCCCUUUCUAUCCCAAUAAUUACGAGUGUACAUGGGCCCUCAUAAGCUCCACCUGGGUACAAGGACAGGAUAUUUGAUCAUCCUCUUACACUGCCAGCGACAGUGGGAUUCCU